rnacentral:rRNA from 1 species
GACAGAGGAGCCAAGCGUUGUCCGGAUUGACUGGGCGUAAAGCGCACGCAGGCGGUCGCGCGCGUGGGGUGUGAAAUCUGGCCGCUUAACGGCCAGGCGCCAUCCCAUACGGCGCGACUGGAGUGAUGCAGAGGUCGAUGGAAUUGCCGGUGUAGUGGUGAAAUGCGUAGAUAUCGGGAGGAACACCUGUGGCGAAAGCGGCGCACUGGACCACAACGUGACGCUGAGGCGCGAAAGCUAGGGGAGCCAAACGGG